CAGACUUCUGAUCACCCACCUACUCAUUGACUUACUCUCACCUAUUUCAUCUUCCUCUGUUCUAGUCUACCCCAAAACCAUGCAUUGAAAGAAAAAUCUAAAUUUCAGACCCAAAGCUUGCUUCACUGAAUCGGUUUGCUCUCCCUUGCGUUCCAUUAAAAGCUUCACCAAUCUCACUCUUCUUCCUGUGUAAUCCUCAUCACCCACCGUAAAUACCUGAAGGAAAAUAUGGGUGUCUAACCCAUCAUUUGAGAUUGACCGUCUUAGGCUUGGAGUUGGAAUCGAUUAAGGUUGAACGGAGGAAGAGAUAAGAAUUUGGAGAAGUGGGUUCAAGUGUUCAUUGCCGAAAUUGGAAUUAAGAGGACGUUGGGUGUUGGGAAUCAGCGAACCCAUUCACUAAAUUGGUCAAGGAAGUUAAGCUGACAAUGAAUGGCAUAAUUAUAUUGGUGGUUUUGGUUCAUGCAUGUUGAGGUGAUGACGUCCUUAUGAGAAUUCAUGAAGCAUGUUUGGUUAGCUUGAUUCCAGUUUCUUGUUGAGAACUAUAAUUGACAUUUGGUUAUUCAACUUGUGGACUGUUGAUGUUUAUGAAUUCCAAUUGAAGUUCUGUUA